CGCCGGGCACUCGUGUCUCGGGCACAGCCGCCUGGGAGCUGCGGCUGGGCGAGGGGCGAGGAGGAGUGCUCGCCGGCCCCGCCGCGCUCGACCGGGUCGCGUAGCCCUGCGCCUGCCCGGGCACGGUCGGAGGAAGGUGUGAGCUAGGCUAGAGGGGGGGAAAAAAAAAAAAAAGAAAAAGAAAAAAAAAUAAGACUGCCCCUUGAGCUGAUAUGUUGGGAGGAGGCUGGAGCUGGAAGAGCAACUGUGACAUUUGUGAUCACCAUGUGGUGAGCAGAGGAAACUCCCCUCUCUUCCACCCUCAUGUCAGGAGCCUGUGCUCAAGGAAAAAAGCCACUGCUUAUAAAGUAUCCACAAUAAAUCCAAACCAGUGGGAUGGAGACAGAGAUUGACUAAGUGAAACCUGCCCUAAGUGUGCACCCAAGAGAUCAACAGAAAUCAAUUUGUCUUGCAGAGAUACUGGCCUCUUCUUGUACCGUCAAAUGAACUUGUUGCUAUUAUUAUUUAAGUCAUUGUGACCGUGAAGGCAGAACCAGAAAGUGCCAGAACCAUCUGAAUCAGUGAAAAUCUGUUGCUCAAAAACCUGAACAUGUCUGACAAUAUUAUCUUCCCAGAGAUAAGGGCUAUAAGGCUGCUAUGCUGCCAGCGGCCUAUUUCUUUUUGUAUGGUGUGGAAUCUCAGAGAGGGCAGCAGGGUGGCAGAUUGCCGCCCCAUGAAAACUUGUGCAACUUUUCCAACUGUCUCUUCAUCCUCCAGGUGCCCCCUGCGUCAGAAAGCUGUUCACUACCGCAGACCUCCCAAGGAAGCCUGCGUACAUGGUUUUGAUUGACCUUGGUGGCUACUAUAACUAUUAUUUGUUAAUCAGCUUUUUGGGGAACCAGCUGUCCUAUUUGCCUGGGAACUCACACGCCGAGGUUCUGGUCCACGCAUGCAGCUCCUGGACACGGUGCCAGCCCAUGUAUUAUGAAUUCCAUGGCAGGAACAAAUUCUCUUCUUCUCUAGCUGUGCUGGCUGUCCGGGUCCUUGUCUGCCAUAAGGAUGAAGAACUGUCAGGUUCCAACUCAAAAAUCCUUCCUGCUCCCUCCUCUGUGCUGCAACCCACGCUGGCCUAGUUUUGAAGCAUGCUCGAUAAUGUACGUGAGCAGCUAAAAUUUCCUUCUCGUGUAAGACAAUGUGCCCUUUCUAACAUUAAUUUCUAGAGGACCCCAAGCUCUUUAGCAAUUUAAUAAAUCCAGGUAGGCACAAAAAAUAGUGAGUGUUGACAGGGUCUCUGAUAAUAAUAAAUAAGUGAAAAAGGCUGUUUCUUAAAAUUUUGCUGAGAAACUAUUUUUGUCCUUGGGCAACAUUUUGUUACUGUGCUUGCAUAGCUCGGUGUGUUUCCUACUGAGCUGGCUGUAUAGUUCUGUAGAGAUAACAAUACAUAUGCACGCACGCAUUAUCUAUAUAUCUCUUGUUUGCUAAACCUGAAGUAAUUUAUGUAAUUAUACACAUAAUGUAUUUUAUCUAAAUACACAAAGAAGAUUUUUUCUUAAAUGCCACUUAGGAUCUAGAUUUAACUUAAACCACUACUUAGUCUAUCUUCCUUAAUAGGAUACUAAAAAGGAAUUUUAUGACAACAUUAUCAGUAGCAUUUUGCCGAUAAUUAGAAUAACAAUAAUAAUACUGAGAUAUUUUUUCAGUAAUAAUGGUGUUAUUAAUGAGAUUUUUAUGAAAGACAGACUUCUUUAGUAUAAUUAUGAAAAUUGAUCUUUUGCAUUUUACUUAUUCACUGAAAUCAGAUAAGUGGCUUAACUACAUGUAUUAUUUCUAAUAAAUAUUCAAAAGAAUGCAUUUAAACAAGGCACCUCAUUCUAUUCUUGCUCAUAUUCCUUGCAUUUAAAUAAAAGUGUAAUUGCUCUGCUUUUUUAAACUGCUAGUUUGGAUUAGCUGUCUAACCUGUACAGUGUAGCUGUUUGCUGUUUGCAUUUUUAAUAGCUUUAUUACCAUUUGGUGAAGCCUUAA